rnacentral:rRNA from 1 species
AUUGAACGCUGGCGGCAUGCUUUACACAUGCAAGUCGAACGGCAGCGCGGGGCAACCUGGCGGCGAGUGGCGAACGGGUGAGUAAUAUAUCGGAACGUACCCAGAAGUGGGGGAUAACGUAGCGCAAGUUACGCUAAUACCGCAUACGAUCUACGGAUGAAAGUAGGGGACCGCAAGGCCUUAUGCUUUUGGAGCGGCCGAUAUCUGAUUAGCUAGUUGGUGAGGUAAAGGCUCACCAAGGCGACGAUCAGUAGCUGGUCUGAGAGGACGACCAGCCACACUGGAACUGAGACACGGUCCAGACUCCUACGGGAGGCAGCAGUGGGGAAUUUUGGACAAUGGGCGCAAGCCUGAUCCAGCAAUGCCGCGUGAGUGAAGAAGGCCUUCGGGUUGUAAAGCUCUUUUGUCAGGGAAGAAACGGUAGAGGCUAAUAUCCUUUGCUAAUGACGGUACCUGAAGAAUAAGCACCGGCUAACUACGUG